UAGUUGGCUGUUAACAACGGGUAGCGAGACCUGGCACGUCGAGCAAGAAUUGAUUCUUAAGCGAGCGGCUCCGACCCUUGAGGCAGUUACAACUCCAUCUCAGUUGAGGGCAGAUGAACGAGACUUAUUGUAAUGAGAUGACCCAGCGGCGGCAGGGGCGAGGGACACUUGCCAGUGUCUGCCCCUGGUAAGAAGCUACGGCUCUGUACCAGGGGCAGGCACCCAACCUUUCGUCUCCCCGAUCGACUUGUGGCUAAUCGACCCCUGCACGGAUCCCGGACUCCCUCUGGCAACUGACUCUUACCCCCCCCCCGCCCCUCCCGCUCAGCCUCCAGGAGCAAACGUCAGCCGAACAUCGUACCUGCCAGCCCUGCAAACACCCCUCUGCCCUCGGAUGCAGCUCUUCCCAUCCGCGAGCGAACCGAAAGAGAUCACCUUUAGUUCUCGUCGAUCAUUUCUCCACAUUAUAUAUUGCGAAGAUUUCUUGGAAUCUUCUAUCAGUUUAUAUUCCAGCUAACUGAUACCGAAUUCCACGAAUAGUAAACUCACAGAAGCUAAAUCGUAUCUUUGUGUAUCAAUUUACUCAUGAUAAAUAUGUUGCUUGUAUCAAGCAUCCAUUUAAAAGUAGUAAUGUUUCUUGAUAGAGCUUUUCCUCUUUGCUCUGAGCACUGUGCUGUGUUUAAAGUACAAUAUGUUGUGCUCCUGUAUAAGAGGUAAUCACGGGUUCAAUAAAUUUUAUUACAAUAAA